rnacentral:rRNA from 1 species
GACGAACGCUGGCGGCGUGCUUAACACAUGCAAGUCGAACGGAAAGGCCCUGCUUUUGUGGGGUGCUCGAGUGGCGAACGGGUGAGUAACACGUGAGUAACCUGCCCUUGACUUUGGGAUAACUUCAGGAAACUGGGGCUAAUACCGGAUAGGAGCUCCUGCUGCAUGGUGGGGGUUGGAAAGUUUCGGCGGUUGGGGAUGGACUCGCGGCUUAUCAGCUUGUUGGUGGGGUAGUGGCUUACCAAGGCUUUGACGGGUAGCCGGCCUGAGAGGGUGACCGGCCACAUUGGGACUGAGAUGCGGCCCAGACUCCUACGGGAGGCAGCAGUGGGGAAUAUUGCACAAUGGGCGGAAGCCUGAUGCAGCAACGCCGCGUGCGGGAUGACGGCCUUCGGGUUGUAAACCGCUUUCGCCUGUGACGAAGCGUGAGUGACGGAAAUGGGUAAAGAAGCACGGGCUAACUACGUG